rnacentral:rRNA from 1 species
GCUGGCGGCGUGCUUACACAUGCAAGUCGAGCGGAGUUUACUGGUGAUAAUUUCGAUUUGAUCCAACUAAACUUAGCGGCGGACGGGUGAGUAACACGUGGGCGACCUACCCUUAAGACUGGGAUAACAACCCGAAAGGGUUGCUAAUACCGGAUACCUUCUAGUAGCUGCAUGGCCACUAGAAGAAAUGAUUUUAUCGCUUAAGGAUGGGCCCGCGUCCCAUUAGCUAGUUGGAGAGGUAACGGCUCACCAAGGCGACGAUGGGUAGCUGGUCUGAGAGGACGAUCAGCCACACUGGAACUGAGACACGGUCCAGACUCCUACGGGAGGCAGCAGUGGGGAAUAUUGCACAAUGGGCGCAAGCCUGAUGCAGCAACGCCGCGUGAGCGAAGACGGCCUUCGGGUUGUAAAGCUCUGUCAGGGGGGACGAUAAUGACGGUACCCCCAGAGGAAGCCCCGGCUAACUACGUGCCAGCAGCCGCGGUAAUACGUAGGGGGCGAGCGUUGUCCGGAAUUACUGGGCGUAAAGGGCGUGUAGGCGGCCAUAUAAGUCAGCUGUGAAACCCCCGGGCUCAACCCGGGACGUGCAGUUGAAACUAUAUGGCUUGAGUGCAGGAGAGGAGAGUGGAAUUCCUAGUGUAGCGGUGACAUGCGUAGAUAUUAGGAGGAACACCAGUGGCGAAGGCGGCUCUCUGGACUGUAACUGACGCUGAGGCGCGAAAGCGUGGGGAGCAAACAGGAU